CCUACGGGAGGCUGCAGUGGGGAAUAUUGCACAAUGGGGGAAACCCUGAUGCAGCGACGCCGCGUGAGUGCAGAAGGAUUUCGGUAUGUAAAGCUCUAUCAGCAGGGAAGAAAAUGACGGUACCUGACUAAGAAGCCCCGGCUAACUACGUGCCAGCAGCCGCGGUAAUACGUAGGUGGCAAGCGUUAUCCGGAUUUACUGGGUGUAACGGGACAGUAGACGGCCAGACAAGGGAGAAGUGAAAGCACAGGGCUUAACCCUGGGCCUGCUUUGGAGACUGUCGGGAUGGAGUGCAGGAGAGGGAAGAGUAAUGAGUGGUGUAGCGGUGAAAGGUGUAGUGAUUAGGAGGAA
rnacentral:rRNA from 1 species